GUCAGUUCUGAACUCAUCUGUAUGUAUCUCCGGAAUCGGUUCGACUUCGGGAGUAGCUUCUGUCGCCAGAGUUUCAACAGCUUCCGAAGACCUUCCGGACAAAAUAUCUUCGAACUCUUUUAUCUCUAAAGAGCUCGGUUUGAUCAAAGAUACUGCAUAACCAAAACAACUCUGUAUUAGAAUCCACAUUAUAAAAGCAUUUUCAAAAAAUUCGUAUACAUAUAAAAUAGACCGAUACUUACAUUUAUG
rnacentral:lncRNA from 1 species